GACGAACGCUGGCGGCGUGCCUAACACAUGCAAGUCGAACGGAGCUUUUAUGGAAUGCGACUUCGGUCAAAUGAAGUUUAAGCUUAGUGGCGGACGGGUGAGUAACGCGUGAGCAACCUGCCUUUCAGAGGGGGCCAACAGUUGGAAACGACUGCUAAUACCGCAUACCAUACAUUUGAGGCACCUCUUAUGUAUCAAAGAUUUAUCGCUGAAAGAUGGGCUCGCGUCCGAUUAGGUAGUUGGUGGGGUAAUGGCCUACCAAGCCGACGAUCGGUAGCCGGACUGAGAGGUUGAACGGCCACAUUGGGACUGAGACACGGCCCAGACUCCUACGGGAGGCAGCAGUGGGGGAUAUUGCACAAUGGGGGAAACCCUGAUGCAGCAACGCCGCGUGAGGGAAGAAGGUUUUCGGAUUGUAAACCUCUGUUUUUAGUGAAGAAACAAAUGACGGUAGCUAAAGAGGAAGCCACGGCUAACUACGUGCCAGCAGCCGCCGUAAAAC
rnacentral:rRNA from 1 species